GAUGAACGCUGGCGGCGUGCCUAAUACAUGCAAGUCGAGCGAACGGACGAGAAGCUUGCUUCUCUGAUGUUAGCGGCGGACGGGUGAGUAACACGUGGAUAACCUACCUAUAAGACUGGGAUAACUUCGGGAAACCGUAGCUAAUACCGGAUAAUAUUUUGAACCGCAUGGUUCAAAAGUGAAAGACGGUCUUGCUGUCACUUAUAGAUGGAUCCGCGCUGCAUUAGCUAGUUGGUAAGGUAACGGCUUACCAAGGCAACGAUGCAUAGCCGACCUGAGAGGGUGAUAGGCCACACUGGAACUUAAACGCGGGCCAGGGUCCUACGGGAGGCAGCAGUAGGGAAUCUUCCGCAAUGGGCGAAAGCCUGACGGAGCAACGCCGCGUGAGUGAUGAAGAUCUUCGGAUCGUAAAACUCUGUUAUUAGGGAAGAACAUAUGUGUAAGUAACUGUGCACAUCUUGACGGUACCUAAUCAGAAAGCCACGGCUAACUACGUG
rnacentral:rRNA from 1 species